rnacentral:misc_RNA from 1 species
GAUGAAGAACGUAGCGAAAUGCGAUAAGUAGUGUGAAUUGCAGAAUUCAGUGAAUCAUCGAAUCUUUGAACGCACAAUGCGCCCCUUGGUAUCCCGAGGGGCAUGCCUGUUCGAGCGUCAUUUCACCACUCAAGCCUGGCUUGGUGUUGGGCGACGUCCUCUUUGGGGACGCGCCUCGAAACGCUCGGCGGCGUGGCACCGGCUUUAAGCGUAGCAGAAUCUUUCGCUUUGGAAGUCGGGGCCCCGUCUGCCGGAAGACCUGCUCGCAAGGUUGACCUCGGAUCAGGCAGGGAUACCCGCUGAACUUAAGCAUAUCAAUAAGCGGAGGA